CCAGAGAGGAUCUUUGUAGCCUGGGGCUCCAUGGCUCUUUCUGCUCUGCUGUGGAAGGGCGAAGGACCCACUCGGAGAUCGGUGGACGUCAACCUCCGGGCCGUCAUGUUCGAAGAGAUCGGGGAAAGAAAAGCUCACUCCCCAGGUCUCUCUUUUCCAUCAUGUCUUGGUAGCUUGUCUUCUAAACUUGACUAAAAGCUCUUAAUGUCUCAAAGCUCAAGCUCAUGGUUGGUCUCUCGGCUUUAUUCACUCCCAGCUUUGAUAUGGCGUUUCGACGUCACUCAGGAUGCCUGUAUUCAUCGUCGCAAGGCCUCUCGAGGACCCCUACUCCCCUCUAGCCUGUAGGCAAAGAUACCGAGACAGCGAUACGCCAGCGAGAAGAAGACUCCCAACCAAGCUGCUCGCAGAAUGCCCAUGGUCAUUGGCCAUAACAAGCUAAUAUGCUUGUAUACGUACGUAUAUACAUGCAUACAUAUUGUACACAUGCAAGCAAACAUGGACUAAUUAAUAAUUAUUUGCGGUGGAAUCGAAGAUUGGCU
rnacentral:lncRNA from 1 species